rnacentral:tRNA from 1 species
UCCCUGAUAGCACAGUUGGUAAAGAGUCUGCCUGCAAUGCAGGAGACCCAGGUUCAAUUCCUGACUUGGGAA